UGGGGAAUAUUGCACAAUGGGCGAAAGCCUGAUGCAGCAACGCCGCGUGCGGGAUGACGGCCUUCGGGUUGUAAACCGCUUUCAGCAGGGACGAAGUGAAAAUGACGGUACCUGCAGAAGAAGCACCGGCUAACUACGUGCCAGCAGCCGCGGUGAUACGUAGGGUGCGAGCGUUGUCCGGAAUUAUUGGGCGUAAAGAGCUUGUAGGCGGUCCGUUGCGUCGGAAGUGAAAACUCAGGGCUUAACCCUGAGCCUGCUUUCGAUACGGGCGGACUUGAGGAAUGUAGGGGAGAACGGAAUUCCUGGUGGAGCGGUGGAAUGCGCAGAUAUCAGGAGGAACACCAGUGGCGAAGGCGGUUCUCUGGACAUUUCCUGACGCUGAGAAGCGAAAGCGUGGGGAGCAAACAGG
rnacentral:rRNA from 1 species